AAACAUAUGGUGACGCUUGUAAUUUUUUAUUUAUUAAUAUGGUAACUUUUUUCGCAAUUAUUACGUAAACAUGUUCUUAAUGUUCUGUGGUUAAAAGUAAAAGUGCUUGGUUAAAAUUAUCAAAUAAAACAGCAUUUGUAGUAACGAGAUAAUCAAAAAAAAAAGAAGGAAUUGAAAUAUUUAUGGCAAUAAAUUAUUAUUAUUAUUAUCAUUAUUAUUUUACAAGUAGUGCAGCAUAUAAAUCUAAAUCUAAAUCUAAAUCUUGAGUUUUUCGUUUCACUGAUUUAUCAAUUUUAUGAUUUUAUUCAUAGUUUUGGCGAAAAUUCCUGUUUGAAAUCAUUUUUCGUGAUGGAGAUACCGCAAAUAUGAUGCAGAGAACGAGAAUAGAAUUGCAGCGAUAGUAUCUUACACAUAGUCAACGGAGAUACUUUGCGGCUUGUGCGGCAGUUAGUGGCUCAAAUCCGAUUGAAUGUAUCUGAGAAAAUCCUCGGAGGCUUUUAUUUAAGUACCAUAGAGGUGAAGAAAAGGCAUCAUUUUCACCCCAAAAGAGCUAAAGGAUGAGAUUAACAUCCGGAGACGGCUGCGUCCUUGGUGAUCACAUUUAUGUGGACUCCAAAGGAACUGUAUUGAUGGGGUUUUACCUAUCCAAUAUUGCUAAGAUGCAAGAAACUUUGGAUGUAAUUUUCAUCUGCACAACACUAAACUGCACUACUACUACGCUGAUUUCUACUGGAAACAAAAUAAACCAGAAGGAUUUUUGUUGGCGACAGCUAUACUGUUAAGUGUAAGAACUUUCCGGACGUCGAGGAUUUGAAUAAAAAUUAAAAAAAAUAUAUUUUUAACACAAACAUAUUUUUUAUUGAGAUGGGUGUAAUAUAUACACCCAAAGGGGGUACAAUUAUUUACGCUGUGGA